UCCGUAGGUGAACCUGCGGAGGGAUCAUUAGCGAGUUCAGCUCUCUAAAACCAUUGUGAAAGCGCCUACAGUGUUGCUUCGGCGGGGUCAAACCCGUCGGCAGUACCAAACUCUGAAAUUAUUGCAUCUCUGAGUAAACUUUUAAUGAGUCAAAACUUUCAACAACGGAUCUCUUGGUUCUGGCAUCGAUGAAGAACGCAGCGAAAUGCGAUAAGUAAUGUGAAUUGCAGAAUUCAGUGAAUCAUCGAAUCUUUGAACGCACAUUGCGCCCGCUAGUAUUCUGGCGGGCAUGCCUGUUCGAGCGUCAUUUCAACCAUCAAGCCCCAGGCUUGCGUUGGGGGCCUGCGGCUGCCGCAGCCCCUGAAAAGCAGUGGCGGGCUCGCUGUCAUUCCGAGCGCAGUAGUUACAUCUCGCUCCGGGCGUGGCGGUGGGCACCUGCCGUGAAACACUCCUUCUAAGGUUGACCUCGGAUCAGGUAGGAAUACCCGCUGAACUUAAGCAUAUCAAUAAGCGGAGGAAGUCGACUGCCCAAGGGCACACAGGGGGGGGGGAUA
rnacentral:rRNA from 1 species